AUUGAACGCUGGCGGCAUGCCUUACACAUGCAAGUCGAACGGCAGCACGGGAGCAAUCCUGGUGGCGAGUGGCGAACGGGUGAGUAAUAUAUCGGAACGUGCCCAGUCGUGGGGGAUAACGCAGCGAAAGCUGUGCUAAUACCGCAUACGAUCUAUGGAUGAAAGCGGGGGACUCGCAAGGGCCUCGCGCGAUUGGAGCGGCUGAUAUCAGAUUAGGUAGUUGGUGGGGUAAAGGCCUACCAAGCCUGCGAUCUGUAGCUGGUCGGAGAGGACGACCAGCCACACUGGAACUGAGACACGGUCCAGACUCCUACGGGAGGCAGCAGUGGGGAAUUUUGGACAAUGGGCGCAAGCCUGAUCCAGCAAUGCCGCGUGCAGGAUGAAGGCCUUCGGGUUGUAAACUGCUUUUGUACGGAACGAAAAGGCUCUGGUGAAUACCUGGAGUUGAUGACGGUACCGUAAGAAUAAGCACCGGCUAACUACGUGCCAGCCGCCGCAGUAA
rnacentral:rRNA from 1 species